CACGUAGGGCGCAAGCGUUGUCCGGAAUUAUUGGGCGUAAAGAGCUCGUAGGUGGUUUGUUACGUCUGCUGUGAAAACCUAGGGCUUAACCCUGGGCUUGCAGUGGAUACGGGCAGACUAGAGGUAGGUAGGGGAGAAUGGAAUUCCUGGUGUAGCGGUGAAAUGCGCAGAUAUCAGGAGGAACACCGGUGGCGAAGGCGGUUCUCUGGGCCUUACCUGACACUGAGGAGCGAAGGCGUGGGGAGCGAACAGGAUUAGACUACCUUGUCAGUC
rnacentral:rRNA from 1 species